CAAAGGUUAGUUUAAAAAAAAUAUAAAUUUUGGAGAUUUAAGAUACCACCUAUUACCUUUGU
rnacentral:tRNA from 1 species